rnacentral:misc_RNA from 1 species
UUUAAACCCUCAAGCUCAGCUUGGUAUUGGGAGUCGCCUCUCGCGGGGCGCCCCCGAAACGCAGCGGCGGUGCGGCCGGUCUCCCUAGCGCAGUGACUUACAAUUCUCGCUACAAGGGGCCCGGGGCGUGCCCGCCGGACAACCCAAUUAAUUUACCCAUGAUUGACCUCGGAUCAGGUAGGGAUACCCGCUGAACUUAA